AAAUGCGAUCGCAUUGUGAAUUGCAGAUUUCAGUGAACCAUCAGAUUUCCGAACGCAUAUGGCGCUGUGGGGACUUCCCCGCAGCACGUCUGUUUCAGUGUCUUU
rnacentral:rRNA from 1 species